CUCAAAGGAAUUGACGGGGGCCCGCACAAGCGGCGGAGCAUGCGGAUUAAUUCGAUGCAACGCGAAGAACCUUACCAAGGCUUGACAUGAACCGGUAAUACCUGGAAACAGGUGCCCCGCUUGCGGUCGGUUUACAGGUGGUGCAUGGUUGUCGUCAGCUCGUGUCGUGAGAUGUUGGGUUAAGUCCCGCAACGAGCGCAACCCUCGUUCUAUGUUGCCAGCGCGUUAUGGCGGGGACUCAUAGGAGACUGCCGGGGUCAACUCGGAGGAAGGUGGGGACGACGUCAAAUCAUCAUGCCCCUUAUGUCUUGGGCUUCACGCAUGCUACAAUGGCCGGUACAAAGGGUUGCGAUACUGUGAGGUGGAGCUAAUCCCAAAAAGCCGGUCUCAGUUCGGAUUGGGGUCUGCAACUCGACCCCAUGAAGUCGGAGUCGCUAGUAAUCGCAGAUCAGCAACGCUGCGGUGAAUACGUUCCCGGGCCUUGUACACACCGCCCGUCAAGUCACGAAAGUUGGUAACACCCGAAGCCGGUGGCCUAACCCUUGUGGGGGGAGCCGUCGAAGGUGGGACUGGCGAUUGGGACUAAGUCGUAACAAGGUAGCCGUACCGGAAGGUGCGGCUGGAUC
rnacentral:rRNA from 1 species